rnacentral:ribozyme from 1 species
UGCCCAACAACUCCUAUCCCUACCUCCUCGCGGUACCGGCCGGAAUCUAUGAGCAACCUUAGGGAAGAUCGGGUAACCAACUUUGUGGGAACUUUGGUCGUAGGCUGACAGGGAUGG